rnacentral:rRNA from 1 species
AAACCAAAUCCUUUCGGCUCCUUGGUGAAUCAUAAUAACUUACGAAAUCCCAUGGCCUUGCGCCAGCGAAUGGUUUCAUUCAAAUUUCUGCCCUAUCAACUUUCGAUGGUACGAUAGUGGCCUACCAUGGUGGCAACGGGUAACGGGGAAUUAUGGUUCUAUUCCGGAGAGGGAGCCUGAGAAACGGCUACCACAUCCAAGGAAGCAGCAAGCGCGCAAAUUACCCAAUCCCGAUACGGGGUAGGUAUUGACAAUAAAUACUGAUACGGGGCUCUUUUGGGUCUCGUAAUUGGAAUGAGAACAAUUUAAAUCCCUUAACGAGGAACAAUUGGNAGGCAAGUCUGGUGCCAGCAGCCGCGGUAAUUCCAGCUCCAAUAGCGUAUAUUAAAGUUGUUGCAGUUAAAAAGCUCGUAGUUGAACCUUGGGUCUGGCUGGCCGGUCCGCCUCACCGCGAGUACUGGUCCGGCUGGACCUUUCCUUCUGGGGAACCUCAUGGCCUUCACUGGCUGUGGGGGGAACCAGGACUUUUACUGUGAAAAAAUUAGAGUGUUCAAAGCAGGCCUUUGCUCGAAUACAUUAGCAUGGAAUAAUAGAAUAGGACGUGCGGUUCUAUUUUGUUGGUUUCUAGGACCGCCCGUAAUGAUUAAAUANGGGAUAGUCGGGGGCGUCAGUUAUUCAGCUGUCAAAAAGGUGAAAAUUCUUUGGAUUUGCCUGAAAAACUAACUUACUGCCGAAAAAGCCAUUCCCCCCAAGGGAAUGGUUUUUUCAUUUAAAUCAGGGAAACGAAAAAGUUUAAGGGGGAUCC